rnacentral:tRNA from 5 species
GCGAACGUAGUUCAGUGGUAGAACACCACCUUGCCAAGGUGGGGGUCGCGGGUUCGAACCCCGUCGUUCGCU